rnacentral:rRNA from 1 species
AUGCAAGUCGAGCGAACAGACGAGGAGCUUGCUCCUCUGACGUUAGCGGCGGACGGGUGAGUAACACGUGGAUAACCUACCUAUAAGACUGGGAUAACUUCGGGAAACCGGAGCUAAUACCGGAUAAUAUAUUGAACCGCAUGGUUCAAUAGUGAAAGACGGUUUUGCUGUCACUUAUAGAUGGAUCCGCGCCGCAUUAGCUAGUUGGUAAGGUAACGGCUUACCAAGGCAACGAUGCGUAGCCGACCUGAGAGGGUGAUCGGCCACACUGGAACUGAGACACGGUCCAGACUCCUACGGGAGGCAGCAGUAGGGAAUCUUCCGCAAUGGGCGAAAGCCUGACGGAGCAACGCCGCGUGAGUGAUGAAGGUCUUCGGAUCGUAAAACUCUGUUAUUAGGGAAGAACAAAUGUGUAAGUAACUAUGCACGUCUUGACGGUACCUAAUCAGAAAGCCACGGCUAACUACGUGCCAGCAGCCGCGGUAAUACGUAGGUGGCAAGCGUUAUCCGGAAUUAUUGGGCGUAAAGCGCGCGUAGGCGGUUUUUUAAGUCUGAUGUGAAAGCCCACGGCUCAACCGUGGAGGGUCAUUGGAAACUGGAAAACUUGAGUGCAGAAGAGGAAAGUGGAAUUCCAUGUGUAGCGGUGAAAUGCGCAGAGAUAUGGAGGAACACCAGUGGCGAAGGCGACUUUCUGGUCUGUAACUGACGCUGAUGUGCGAAAGCGUGGGGAUCAAACAGGAUUAGAUACCCUGGUAGUCCACGCCGUAAACGAUGAGUGCUAAGUGUUAGGGGGUUUCCGCCCCUUAGUGCUGCAGCUAACGCAUUAAGCACUCCGCCUGGGGAGUACGACCGCAAGGUUGAAACUCAAAGGAAUUGACGGGGACCCGCACAAGCGGUGGAGCAUGUGGUUUAAUUCGAAGCAACGCGAAGAACCUUACCAAAUCUUGACAUCCUCUGACCCCUCUAGAGAUAGAGUUUUCCCCUUCGGGGGACAGAGUGACAGGUGGUGCAUGGUUGUCGUCAGCUCGUGUCGUGAGAUGUUGGGUUAAGUCCCGCAACGAGCGCAACCCUUAAGCUUAGUUGCCAUCAUUAAGUUGGGCACUCUAAGUUGACUGCCGGUGACAAACCGGAGGAAGGUGGGGAUGACGUCAAAUCAUCAUGCCCCUUAUGAUUUGGGCUACACACGUGCUACAAUGGACAAUACA